GCAUAUCAAUAAGCGGAGGAAAAAGAAACCAACAGGGAUUGCCCCUAGUAACGGCGAGUGAAGCGGCAACAGCUCAAAUUUGAAAUCUGGCCCCCGGGUCCGAGUUGUAAUUUGUAGAGGAUGCUUUUGGUGCGGUACCUUCCGAGUUCCCUGGAACGGGACGCCAUAGAGGGUGAGAGCCCCGUCUGGUUGGACGCCAAUCCUUUGUAAAGCUCCUUCGACGAGUCGAGUAGUUUGGGAAUGCUGCUCUAAAUGGGAGGUAUAUGUCUUCUAAAGCUAAAUAUUGGCCAGAGACCGAUAGCGCACAAGUAGAGUGAUCGAAAGAUGAAAAGCACUUUGAAAAGAGAGUUAAAAAGUACGUGAAAUUGUUGAAAGGGAAGCGCUCAUGACCAGACUUGGGCCCGGUUGAUCAUCCAGGGUUCUCCCUGGUGCACUCUUCCGGCCCAGGCCAGCAUCAGUUCGCUGUGGGGGAUAAAGGCUUCGGGAAUGUGGCUCCUCCGGGAGUGUUAUAGCCCGCUGCGUAAUACCCUGUGGCGGACUGAGGUUCGCGCAUCUGCAAGGAUGCUGGCGUAAUGGUCAUCAGCGACCCGUCUUGAAACACGGACCAAGGAGUCGUCUUCGUAUGCGAGUGUUCGGGUGUUAAACCCCUACGCGGAAUGAAAGUGAACGCAGGUGAGAGCUUCGGCGCAUCAUCGACCGAUCCUGAUGUUCUCGGAUGGAUUUGAGUAAGAGCAUACGGGGCCGGACCCGAAAGAAGGUGAACUAUGCCUGUAUAGGGUGAAGCCAGAGGAAACUCUGGUGGAGGCUCGCAGCGGUUUCUGACGUGCAAAUCGAUCGUCAAAUAUGGGCAUGGGGGGCGAAAGACUAAUCGAACCUUCUAGUAGCUGGUUUCCGCCGA
rnacentral:rRNA from 1 species